GAAGAGUUUGAUCAUGGCUCAGAUUGAACGCUGGCGGCAGGCCUAACACAUGCAAGUCGAACGGUAACAGGAAGCAGCUUGCUGCUUCGCUGACGAGUGGCGGACGGGUGAGUAAUGUCUGGGAAACUGCCUGAUGGAGGGGGAUAACUACUGGAAACGGUGGCUAAUACCGCAUAACGUCGCAAGACCAAAGAGGGGGACCUUCGGGCCUCUUGCCAUCAGAUGUGCCCAGAUGGGAUUAGCUUGUUGGUGAGGUAACGGCUCACCAAGGCGACGAUCCCUAGCUGGUCUGAGAGGAUGACCAGCCACACUGGAACUGAGACACGGUCCAGACUCCUACGGGAGGCAGCAGUGGGGAAUAUUGCACAAUGGGCGCAAGCCUGAUGCAGCCAUGCCGCGUGUAUGAAGAAGGCCUUCGGGUUGUAAAGUACUUUCAGCGGGGAGGAAGGUGUUGCGGUUAAUAACCGCAGCAAUUGACGUUACCCGCAGAAGAAGCACCGGCUAACUCCGUGCCAGCAGCCGCGGUAAUACGGAGGGUGCAAGCGUUAAUCGGAAUUACUGGGCGUAAAGCGCACGCAGGCGGUCUGUCAAGUCGGAUGUGAAAUCCCCGGGCUCAACCUGGGAACUGCAUUCGAAACUGGCAGGCUUGAGUCUUGUAGAGGGGGGUAGAAUUCCAGGUGUAGCGGUGAAAUGCGUAGAGAUCUGGAGGAAUACCGGUGGCGAAGGCGGCCCCCUGGACAAAGACUGACGCUCAGGUGCGAAAGCGUGGGGAGCAAACAGGAUUAGAUACCCUGGUAGUCCACGCCGUAAACGAUGUCUACUUGGAGGUUGUGCCCUUGAGGCGUGGCUUCCGGAGCUAACGCGUUAAGUAGACCGCCUGGGGAGUACGGCCGCAAGGUUAAAACUCAAAUGAAUUGACGGGGGCCCGCACAAGCGGUGGAGCAUGUGGUUUAAUUCGAUGCAACGCGAAGAACCUUACCUGGUCUUGACAUCCACGGAAGUUUUCAGAGAUGAGAAUGUGCCUUCGGGAACCGUGAGACAGGUGCUGCAUGGCUGUCGUCAGCUCGUGUUGUGAAAUGUUGGGUUAAGUCCCGCAACGAGCGCAACCCUUAUCCUUUGUUGCCAGCGAUUAGGUCGGGAACUCAAAGGAGACUGCCAGUGAUAAACUGGAGGAAGGUGGGGAUGACGUCAAGUCAUCAUGGCCCUUACGACCAGGGCUACACACGUGCUACAAUGGCGCAUACAAAGAGAAGCGACCUCGCGAGAGCAAGCGGACCUCAUAAAGUGCGUCGUAGUCCGGAUUGGAGUCUGCAACUCGACUCCAUGAAGUCGGAAUCGCUAGUAAUCGUGGAUCAGAAUGCCACGGUGAAUACGUUCCCGGGCCUUGUACACACCGCCCGUCACACCAUGGGAGUGGGUUGCAAAAGAAGUAGGUAGCUUAACCUUCGGGAGGGCGCUUACCACUUUGUGAUUCAUGACUGGGGUGAAGUCGUAACAAGGUAACCGUAGGGGAACCUGC
rnacentral:rRNA from 1 species